rnacentral:lncRNA from 1 species
CUAGAAUAUCCUGAAAUAGCAGAGUGAGGCAAUGUGAAACCAAUAUUUGAUCUUUAUUUAGUCAGUUUUCACUAAACUUUCUGUGAAAAUGCUUUUUAGUCAGUGAGGUAUACUUGUUCUUCAACACCAAGUGGUAAUUGAAUUCAGCUGUUCUUUCACUCAAUAACGCUAGAUACUGGUCUGAGUGCUGGGAGAUACAGAGGUGAAGAAAACUCACUAUGAUCUCUGCUUUUAUGAGGAGUAUUCUCUUAUGAGGAGAGAGAUGUCAACAGAAAAGAUUUAGAGUCAAGAGUCAGAAGUCAAGAGUCAAGUUCAAAAGGAAAAGGACUUGUUUGUCUAUAAUAGGAAUUCUGUCCACCCCACCAGUGCCCCAUACUGGGGAUGGAACUCAGGGGCUGUCUACCAUUGAGCUAUAUCCCCAGCUUUUUUUAUUUUUCAUUUUCAGAUAGGGUCUUAUUAAGUUGCCCAGGCCUUGAAUUUAGCAAUUCUCCUGCCUCAGCCUCCCGAGUAGCUGAGAUUACAAGUGUGUAACACUGCUCUUGGCUCAUUUUAAAGCUUUUUAAUUAUAAUAGUUUGAAAACUGCUUUAGAGGAAAAGUGCAUAGAACACAAACACUUGCAUUCUGAGGACUUUUUGGUUGGGCGAGAACUGUGCGGAAUUAGGAUUUUAGAUGACCAUAGCAAUUGACUUACCAGAACAGCUCUUCUCACAUGCCAUUGAAAAUAAAGUGGGCUCAGCUAAGUUUACAUGAGCAUAUUUUAAAAACAGGACUUUAAUAAUAAUAAUAAAAAAAACAGCAGAGGACUUGUAAUGCGUUUAACAUUGUGGUUGGCAUUGAGUAAAUUGAUGUAAAUGGGGAGGUCUCCAUCCUCUGGAAAUUUAUAGACUAGUUGCGGAGACAGUCUAGUAGGUAGUGACAGUGUGGUAGAAAUGUUAUAGAUAUUCACAAGGUUUAAUGGAAAAUGGAACUCAGCUCACAUUGGGUAAUGAGGGGCUGGUUAUGUGAGGGGUUUCUGAGUUAAAUGCACGAGAGGCAGUGGGUGACUUGGAAUUAGCCUGGGGAUGGGAAUGGAUAAGUUGGAGAAGUUGGAGUGUGUUACUAAGAGACAUGGAAUUAAGAUUCAACUAAAAGAUACCAAGUAUUAUGUGCUAGGCGAUUUAUACACAAUUUCUAAUCUUAUACAUAAGCCUGAUAUGAGAUUCUCAUUUCAUAAACGGGGAGAGAUAAAUGACUUCCCCAUAAAGUGAAGAAGCUUGUUUUAAUUCUUUUUAAAAAGCUCCUAUAUUCCACAGCAUUUCCACCUUUAAAAGUGGGGGAUGGAGGAAAAGCUAAUCAGAUCUUUUUGCUUGAUUUCUCUUAGUGUCAUAAUGAAAAAUAAAACUCUGGCAUUAUUGUUUGCUUCGAUGUCUAGUCUCACUUGAAUGUUCCAAACCAUUCUUGCUCCAAGCACACCACUAGAUGCAACACAGAAGUAUGUCCCCCUUCCCCCUCAUUGAUAUGAACCUUGGUUGGCACGGCAUCUUCUCUGAAACGUACAUUGUGGUUGUAGACUGUGAAUGGAACAGGAACUAUCCAGAGGAGUAAGGCCAGGGCUCUGUCAGAGAAACCAGGGUAGAAAACCUGUUUCUGGGCCACUUGGCAGAGCUUUUAGUUCCUAUAAUAAUACGAGUACAUUUCCAUUUGGGAUGUGAGUAUCCUAGUUAGGAGUGAGGGCAGAAUGGGGAGGGAAGAGACAAUGAAGUGGGAAGAGGAGAGGAGAAGAAUUGGGAGUGGGAAGGAGGAUAGAAUGACCUGGCUAUGUGGAUACAGAUGUCAUGCAACUGAGAAGAGAAAAGGUAAAUGAUAGGAGGAGGAAAAUGCUGAGAGGGAGACAGAGAGGAAGAAGAAAAAGAGGAGGAGAAAGGAGAGAAUGAAACUAGAGGAAUGAAAGUUUGAGAAACAUUGCAAAAUAUACUGUAUAGAAACCUCUGGCAUUGGUAGCCACGAGUCUCUUACAUAGUGUUUACUCUUUAAAGGUAUUUGCUUUGUAAAAUGUGAGUCAUGAAGGGUAAAGAGAAAACCUAUGAAAUGACAGUUGCUCCCUCUCUUUGAAAUCAAAGUCGGAGAUUCUGAGAAGGCAGCUGUCGCAAAGUGUUUCGCUUCAUCUUUUGGCUGUUCUAUGCCCUUUUAUCCAUUUUGUUGGUUGUUAAGGCUUCGCUCCCACCCCUGAUAUGACCAAGCUAUAAACUAAGAUUUCCAGGUCACCUGAGCCACAGACCAUGAAAGCCGAACCCAUGGAGUUAGAAUUUUUUUUUUUUUUUUUUACAAAGUCAAAAUAAUCUCUGAAUUGGAAAGCCCAUUCCAUGCAAUUCCUCAAUAGCACAUUUGGCAGAUGGUCAUCCAGGUCCAAUAUGGACCUCUCUAUUUGCAGAGUUCAUAAAAAAUCAGAUCAUUCAUUAUUGGAAAACUCUAACAAGGAAACAAAUUUCUCAUUCUGUGUUGAGCUGAAAUUUGUCUUCAAGUUUCAGGGUAACUUUCACACCCUGGUCCUAAUGUCACUGGCUGAAGCAAAUGAGAAGCUAGGGGUUUCUUUGACUUUAUAAUAGAUCUUGAUACACAAGUUAGACAUCUCUUAAAUCUUUCCUUAUUUUUGCAACUUAAGAUCUUUCCCCAUUCUGAAUGACCUCUUAUGGACAAGAGAUAAUUUUAAGUGCUCCUUUUAAAUCAAGGUGCUCAGAAUAAUGCAACAUCAAAUAUUAAAGUGGACUAUUUCUGGCAGUAGGCAUAGUGAGAUAUUAGAAAUUGCCCACCCAUCUCAAUGCAUACUUCAAAGACCUAUAAAUGUUGACCUAAAUGUAAUCUGAAGAUUUGAAAUAACUGGUUAGGAUCAAAGGAGCCUGCAUAUAACAAAGGAACAGAAAAACUCAAAAUGGUAAGAGUGAGCUGAGAGAGGGUCAGUUUAUGGGUAUUUUGAUUCUGGUUUUUUCUUUGUGCUCAGUGCAGCUUUCUAAUGUCCAAGUACGGACAGGAGAUUUAGCCUUGGAUAGUAGGAAGUGGCACCCUGAAAAAGAAGUCCUCUCCAUGAAGCUAGAUACUUUAAUAGGUGUAAAGUCCUUUGUCCAUUGGCCCUGGAGUUGAUGAGAAAACUCGCUUGGGUAAAAUGAAAAAAAAAUCCUGGAGAAAGAAAGCCCACAGGCCUAUGAUAUGCACUGUUUUGAUGAUGCAAUAUUUUGUUGUCUGCCUAGAGAGUGAACCACAAGCUGAGAAAUUAACAAAAGAAUUGGUCCAAGGCCAUUGACUUUCCAAGGGCUUUGGCAGCAGCAAUUGCAAAAUUGUUCUAAAUGGGCUUUUUUUUUUUUUUUUUUGGCAGCCUAUGGUAGAUAGAGCUUCCACAGGGAGAAACUUUAAAAAGCACUAACAAAACUUUCUGUAAAGAUAAGAACACAAUUAAAAGGACAAGUUACAUUGAGAAAAGAAUCAGCAGUUACAAUUAAGAAUUUCAUAUCUCUAGAAUUGAAGAUAAUAUGUUGGGUACAGUGGCCCAUACCUGUAAUUCCAGUGACUUGGGAGGCUGAGGCAGGAGGAUCGUGAGUUCAAAGCAAGCCUCAGCAAAAGUGAGGUGCUAAGCAACUCAGUGAGACCCUGUUUCUAAAUAAAAUACAAAAUAGGGCUGGGAUGUGGCUCAGUGGUCAAGUGCCCCUGAGUUCAAUCCAUGGCACUCCCCCCUAAAAAGAAGAUAAUAAAGUGAGAUAGUAUGUAUACCCAUAAUAUUUAAUGGGUAAGGGAAGAAACAGAAACCACAAUGAAAAACAGAGAGUAUGAUAAAAGGAAUGGGAGGAUUUAAAAAAAAAAAAAAAGAAUUGUGCUGGGGGUGUAGCUCAGUGGUAGUAUGUGGGCUUAGAAUGUGUGAGGCCCUGGGUUCAAUCCCCAACGUAAACAAACAAACAAAUAAAAUAUUGAAUCAUUAAGAAAUGAGAAAUUUGUCAUUAAUAUUAACAAAUUAGUGGAUAAGUAGCAGAACAGAUAGAGUUGAAAAUAUAGUUAGUAAAAUAGAAGAUAGCACUGAAGAAAUUAUCCCUUGCAAAUGUGCAAAGGUAAAAAGAAGAAAAUGUAUAGAAUCAAGCAAAUGAGUAUUUUUCAAAACAUAACUAAACAAAGUUACAGAGUUUACAUUUAAAGAAAUACAAAUAUAGUACUAGAUUGAUAAAAUGUUUUCAGUUGGGGUCAUUAUAAACAAUGCCACUGUUAACAUUUUUGUACAUAUAACCUGGUACAGAUAGGCAUGCAUGGAAUUGUCAGGUCAUAUAUAGACUGGAGACUGGAUUAUGGGUACUUUCUCUGUCUAUGUUUUAGGUUUGACUUUCUGGGAGAGGAGGUUCCCAAGUGUCUUCAGGGAUAAAUGUCCUGCCUUUCCCUUCCUUUAUCAUACUGUUUUAAUUUAGUGAGCACAGUAAGUAUGUAUCCACUGUGGAGUGGUGUGGGAAUCUUUAAAUCCUAUUUUUAGAUUGUCUGACUCUGCUAUAUGACCUUAACAUAGGUGUGCUCUUCUUUAACUGUAGAAUGUACAGAGAGCAUGUCCAUGGUGUUCACAGCCUCUAGCUCCUUUUUCUCCAUCAAUGCUUGUUAUGCUUUUGAUGCUGCCAUGUGACUCUUAAGGAAGUGUCUACAUGCAGUUUCAUUUUUAUUUCCCCUUCUGUUCUCCCUUGCGUUCCCUAUUCAUUAGUCUGAGUCUGUUUUUCCUGUUUCUGUGUGUGUGUCUCCCACACACCCACUUCCUCUCACCACUGUCUAUGUUUUAGGUUUGAUUUUCCCAGAAUUGGAAGUUUCACAAGUGUCCUCAGGGCUGAAGCUCUUGCCUUUCCUUUAUUUUGUCCUACCUUCUCUAGCUUAGCACCUCCAGCAGCAUGAUCAGCUGUUUCUUGGGAGCCAUAUGAGAGAAAAACAAUUGGUAUUGUGCAAAAACUAUGGUAUUUGGGAAUGAAGACACUUGAGUUAUAAUCUUAGGAUCAAUAUUUAUCAGCUGGUGAAAAGUUAUUAAAGAUCUCCAUACUUAAUUUUUCAGCAAUAAAAUGUGAAUUAAUACUUCCAAUGUUUAUUUUGUUAAAAACCAUUUGAGUGCCUAAACUCUUCCAGGGAUGACUCUGAGUGCUAGAGAUGGUUGUGAACAAAACCAAGAAGGUACCUUGUAGAAUUUUACUAGUAUUAAAAAAGGCAAUGACUGUAACACACUUGUUGUAGACUUCGAAAGUAUGCUUGAUAAUUUAUUCAUUUAAUAAAUGUUUAUUUAAUAAAUUAUUACUAUCAAUAAUAGUCUAGACUGACUAUGUUCUAGUCAGUGUGGUAGGCAGUGGGGAUUUCGUAUUGCAUAAGACCAGAGGCAAAGGAUCAGAAAACAAGAAAAACAAGUAAGCCACUUAAUUUCAAUAGUGGUGUCUGUGUAUGAUCCACACAAAUGAACCAGUGAAAAUGAAAGUGGGAAAGUUUUAUUUCAGAUGUUGAAGCUGGUCAACUGAACAGCAAUGCUAGGAGGAGAAAGAGAACUAAGAAAAUGAACAGAUGGCAGUCAGAAACAACCAGAAUACCAUUCAGAAAGAGAAAAUUUUGAAGCCAGAUGGCUAACCAGCCAUUAGCAGAUGGUACCCAUUAUUCCUCUCACUGGUAAGAAGAAGAAAAAAUGCUUAUGCUGUCUUCAUGAUUCUUGGGCUUCUUAUUCCUUAACUAUCCCAUAGCAAAUUGCAUUUGUAGCUAUUUUUAGUCAAAUAAUUUAUAAUUCUUUAAUUCUAGUCUAAUCUCCCUCAUAUUCAAGAAUUCUUACACUAUUCUCCAGCUGGGAUGGCCUAGGAUUGUAUGCUCCCAAUGUCAAAAGAAACGAUGCUAGUUAUACCACUUAACUACAUCCUCAGAGUAGGAGAUAAAGCCUCCGAACUCAGCUGUGAGAAAAGGAGUAUGCUGGACUGGGAGUUCAAAGAUCAAAAUUUCAGUUCCAUUCAUGAGUAGUUAAAAGUGUGUUGCUUGCUAUAGAAGUUAGUGGAUCAGACAAAGGGGAAUGAAGGGAAGGGAGGGGGGAAAGGAAUAUGAAAGACAGUGGAAUGAAUCCGACAUCGUUUUCUUAUGUUCACAUAUGAAUACACCACAGUGAAACUCCACAUCAUGUAUAACCACAAGAAGAUCGUUGUUAGAACAGAUUAUACUCCAUGUAUGUACAAGUCAAAAUACACUCUAAUGUCAUGUAUAUAUCAAAAGAACAAAGAAAAACUAUAUUGCUUUGUAGAGGUGCAUAUUCUUUCUUUGAUUUGUUUUCCUCAUUUACAAAUUCAAGAUAGUAAUUCCUAUCAGAGUUGUUGUGAGGAUUCAACAAAAUGGUGUAUGUGAAAGCUCUUUGAAAACACAAAAUACUCUACAAGUGAAAGGAAUGAUUACCCUAGGUAUGUGGACCACCAACAGUUCCCCGAACAUGUGGAAAGUUCCAUGGGCUGACUUCAGCUCCCACCAUGGACCUUUAAAAAAACAGCUUUCUUGAGAUAUAUAAAAACUGUAUUUAUUUAAGGCAUAGAACUUGAAGUCCAUAUCUAUCUAUCUAUCAAUCUAUCUAUCUCUCAAUGAUUACCAUGACCAAGCUAAUUAAUAUAACAGUUACUAUUUUGUGUGCAUACAUAAAUGUGUGUGUGUGUUGAGAAGAUUUAAUUUGAAAUCUAUUCUUUAAGCAAAUUACAAGCAUACACAAUAUACAGUAUAAUAUUUCUAACUACUUUCAUCAUGGUUAGAUCUCCAGAACUCACUCAUUCAUCCCACAUAGUUGAAAUUUAGUACACUUUGACCAACAUUUCUCCAUUUACCCCUCCCUGACAGUUCCUGAAAACUACCAUCCUACUUUCUAUUUUCAUGAAUUUGACUAUUUUAGAUUCCACAUAUUAGUGAGAUCAUGAAAUACAUACCAUAAGUUUAUUCUGAGGCUUUGGUAAAUCACCACUUCUCUGUGUGCUGGUAUUCUGAGUUUGUCUUGCCAUGAAAGAUUCUUUCUAGAACAUGAUAAAAUUCAAUAUCCCUGGGGCUGGGGCUGGGGCUCAGUGGUAGCGCACUUGCCUGGCAUGUGUGAAGCACUGGGUUCAAUUCUCAGUAAUGCAUAUAAAUAAAUAAAAUAAAGAAAGGACUAUCCACAAUUAAAACAAUGUUAAAAAUUCAAUAUCCCUUCAUAAUAAAAGCUCUGAACAAAUUAGGUAUAGAAGAAUCAUACCUCAACAUAUUUAAAGCUAUAUAUGACAAGCACACAGCUGACAUAUUGAAUGUGGAAAAGCUAAAAGCAUUUAUUCUAAGAUUGGGAACAAGACAAGGGUGUCCAUUCUCAACAUUCUUAUUCAAUGCUGUACCAGAAAAUUUUAGCUGGAGGAGUUAGAUAAGAGAAAGUAAAGAAAAAACAUAUAAUAGGAAGGUAAGAAGUCAAAUUAUCCCUAUUUUCACAUGAUAUAAUUCUAUACAUAGUAUAGUCCAAUAACUCCAUCAAAAGACUAUUAGAGCUGAUAGAUGAAUUCAGUAAAGUUGUAUGAUACCAAUUAACAGGCAAAAAUCAAUAGUUUUUCCAGGUGCUGUGGCACAUGCCUGUAAUCCCAGCAGCUUGGGAGGCUGAGGCAGGAGGAUCACAAGUUCAAAUGUAGCCUCAGCAGUAGCAAGGCUGUAAGCAACUUAGCAAGACCCUGUCUCAAAAUAAAAAUAUAAAAAAGGGCUGGUGAUGUGGCUCAGUGGUCAAGUACCCCUGGGUUCAAUUCCUGAUUAAAAACCAAAACCAAAACCAAUAGUUUCUUAUACACGAAUAAUGAGCUUUCUGAGAAAGAUAAUAGGAAAGCAUUUACACUCACAGUAGCUACAAAAAAAUCUAGAAAUUAAUUUAACCAAGGAUGUAAAAGACCUCUAAUAAAAAUUAUAAAACACUGAUGAAAGAAAUUUGAAAAGACACAAAAAGGGGAAAAAAUUCCAUGUGCAUGUAUAUGAAGCCUUAAAGUUGUUAAACGUCCAUAUUACUCAAAGAAAUCUACAGAUUCAAUCCAAUCCCCAUUGAAAUACCAAUGGCAUUCUUCACAGAACUAGAAAAAACAUCCUAAAAUUCAAAUGGAAACAAAAGAAUCUUCAGCAAAAAGAACAAAGCUGGAGGUAUCACAAUUCUUGAUUUUAAGACAUACCCCAUAAUCAAAGAAACCAAAACAACACAGUACUGCCAUGAGAACAGACACUGGGGUCAGUGGAACAGAACAGAGAGAUCGGAAAUAAACUCACAUCUACAGCCAAAUAAUUGUCAACAAACAUGCCAAAAAACACAGUGGAGAAAGGGCAGCCUCUUCAACGACUGGUUCUGGGAAUACUGACUAUCCACAGGCGGAAGACUGAAACUUGACCCCUUUGUCUCUCCUUUUACAAAAGUCAACUCAAAAUAAAUCAAAGAACUCAAUAUAAGACUGAAAUUCUCAAACUAGCUGAAGGAAACCUAAGGAAACACUUCAAGAUAUAGGUGUAGGCAAUAUUUUUAUGAAUAAGACCCCAAAACACAGGAAAAGAAGCAAAAUUGACAAAGAGGGAAACAUCUGCCAGCAAAGGCAACCAUCAACAGAGAGAAGAGAAAAUCUCCAGAAAGGGAGGAAAUAUUCAUCAGCCAUCCAUGGACAGAGGUCUCAUGUCUAGAACCCAAAAACUUCACCACAAAAAAACCAAGUCAUCCAGUUUAAAAGUGGGCCAAUGAUCUGAAUAAACACUUCUCAAAGGAAGAAAUAAAAAUGGCCAACAAAUAUGUGGAGAAAAUGCUCAAUAUCAUUAGCUAUCAGGGAACUGCAAAUCAAAACUACAAUGAGACACCAUCUCACCUCAUAAUAAAAAACAAAAAACCAAAUAAUAAGGAGGUGGGGAAAAAGGGACUCUCAUACACUUUUGGUGGGAAUGCAAAUUAGUAAAACCACUAUGAAGAACACUUCCUGACACAACUUAAACUAGAUCUACCAUAGGAUCCAGCCAUGCCACUUCUGAAUGUAUAUUCAAAGAAAAUAGAAUCUGCAUAGCAAAGAGAUCCCUGCCCACUCAAGAUUACUGAGAUAUUCAGAUACUACUCACAAUAGAUAAAGCAGGGAAUCAAGUUAGGUGCCCAUCAACAGAUGAAUGGAUUUAAAAAGGUGGUGCAAAUACACAAGGCAGUAUUACUCAGCCACAAAUAAGAGUGAAAUCCUGUGAUUUGGGGCUGGGGAUGUGGCUCAAGCAGUAGCGUGCUUGCCUGGCAUGCGUGCGGCCCGGGUUCGAUCCUCAGCACCACAUACAAAACAAAAGAUGUUGUGUUCGCUGAAAACUAAAAAAUAUAUAUAAAAUUUCUCUCUCUCUCUCUUUCUCUUUAAAAAAAAAAGUGAAAUCCUGUGAUUUGCAGCAAAAUGGAUGGAACUGGGGGCAAAGACACCAAAGGCAAGAACUACACUCUCUCUCUCAUGUGGAAGUUAAAAGAAGUCCACCUGAAUGUAGACUAGGGAUUAACAGGUUAGAAAUGCUGUGUGUGUGAAAGGGAGGAUAUACAGAGAGAGGCUGGAUUAGAUUGCUACACACUGUACAUGUGUGGAAAUAGCAUACCGAUACCACUAAUAUGUACAAUUAAAACAUGUUUUUUUUUUUUAAAACAUGUUAAUAAAAAUAAAAACAUAAAAAUCUUUCUAGGUAUACCUUGCAACAAGUUCCUGGAUUCAAUGGUUCUCUUUUCAGAAAAAAAUAUAGUGAAAGUUAUAAUAGCCCAAAAGUGUCUGGAUCAACUGACCUUUGAGAAAAGAAAUUGUUUAAGUCCAGAUAACCAUCAAUGGAGGUUAUACUAUACUGCUUUCAUUGGUCAGAAAACACAUAACAAAAACCAAACCAAAUCUAAAAAAUAAUAGCUUCGUGUCUUUAAGUCUGAAAAACUGUUAGCACUUGAAAAAUUUGAAAUAUAAAUAACAGAACUCUUAAGAUUUUUAAAGGGAAAUUAGAAAUUUGGAGAAUGCAAAGUACUGUACCAUGAUUCACUUUUCUUUUUACUGAUAUGCCCAUGGUUUCCCUCCCAUCCACUAUCUGGACUAUUUUGAACUCUCAUUUAAUCAUUUAGUUUCUUAUUUUGAUUACAAAAAUAAAUUUUCUGUGUUCUUUCAAGCUGUUUUGGGACAACGUUCAUUACAGAAAGUUAGGUUGGGCUAGGCCCAUCUCUGGGAUUUCAGCUUAGAGUGAGGGGCAGAAGCUUAUUCUUUAGGGAUACAAUGGGGUGUGGGGAGAGGGUAAUAUUCAUGAGGUCAGAAUGGGAGGAACUGGAGCCAGGAGAUUUGAUCCUGUCCCUCCAUUGACAAGAGCACACAGAAAGUGACACACACACACACACACACACACACACACACACACGAAUGUUUCUAUAAUGACAGGCUCUGCGUGUGCUGGGAGGAAAGGUUUGCAAAACAAGUUAGUGAGCAAGGAGUGCAGGUGGGGCUGGCCUAGUUCUCCUGCCUUUGCUCACAGUCUGGGAGGCUCAGAAGACUCCCCUGAGAAAUUGACCUCAGAGCCUGAGGUCAGAGUGGAAAUAACUAGGCCCAGGAAGUGGUGAGGGGAGCAGAGGGGCCAGCGCUCCCCAGGCAGAGUGAAUUGCUUGUUCAGAGGCUUUUGGCAGGAAGAAGCUGUGUAUAGUUAGAGGAACUGAAAGCUGACAGAGAGGCUAAGGUGCAGAGCAAGUGAAGCUGGAAGGCAAGAUGGUGUUCAGAGGUUAUUCAGAGUUGAGCAGGGAGGGCCUGUGUGAUCCUGUGGGCCAUGCCGUUGUUUUGCUCUCCUGACAAAGAGCCACUUCCCGGACCAGGCAAAAGGUUAGGGGGUGGUGACGAGGUGGAAAUGUAGAGAGAGAGCCACUUAAGAGAUGUAAGGUAGAGCCCAGCUGGCAUGGGAGAGGGUCAGCAGCUAGCUACCCAGGCUCUGACUGAGUAAAGAAGGGAUCCUCGUCCAGGUGACAAGGGCUCUGAGCCACUGUUGUUGUCAGAUUCUUAUUUUCAGUGUGAGGAAUGGGUACUUGGCUUUCCAGGUUCACAGAUGCACACUUUAAUUUUAUGUCUUUUCUUUGGAAUAGAAGGAGGAGGAGUGAGCAGGAGGUAGAAGAGGCAGCCAGCAGAAGGAGAGGCCCGCAGGAGGGGUGAGAGGUGGAGGGGAAUGUAGGGGAGCACCCAUACAGUCAGGCAUAUUACUGUAAGUGGGCAAUAGCAUUAUGUGUGAAAAAGAUGUGUAUCCAUUAAUUAAAAUAUUUUAUUGCUAAAAACUGUUUAAGAUCAUCUGAGCUGUUGGGAAAAUGGUGCUAAUAGAUUUCCUCCAUGCAGGGUUGCCACACAUCUUCAAAUUCCACAAAAUACAGCAUUAAAGUGAAGUGCAAUGAAAUAUGC